AGGCCCAGAAAGAGAAGCAGGGUCUGAUCCGCAGCCUCUGUGGCAGCUGUUGAUCAGCCCUUGCUUCUCUUUCUCUCUGGG
rfam:Myotis davidii contig33353, whole genome shotgun sequence.